UGGGGAAUAUUGGACAAUGGGCGCAAGCCUGAUCCAGCCAUGCCGCGUGAGUGAUGAAGGCCCUAGGGUUGUAAAGCUCUUUCACCGGUGAAGAUAAUGACGGUAACCGGAGAAGAAGCCCCGGCUAACUUCGUGCCAGCAGCCGCGGUAAUACGAAGGGGGCUAGCGUUGUUCGGAAUUACUGGGCGUAAAGCGCACGUAGGCGGGUCUGUAAGUAGAGGGUGAAAUCCCAGGGCUCAACCCUGGAACUGCCUUCUAGACUGCAGGCCUGGAGGUCAGGAGAGGCGAGCGGAAUUCCGAGUGUAGAGGUGAAAUUCGUAGAUAUUCGGAGGAACACCAGUGGCGAAGGCGGCAUCCUGGACCGGUAUUGACGCUGAGGCGCGAAAGCCAGGGGAGCAAACGGGAUUAGAUACCCCGGUAGUCCCUGAGCGGGCUGGCAAGGCGCAU
rnacentral:rRNA from 1 species